GACGAACGCUGGCGGCGUGCUUAACACAUGCAAGUCGAACGAAGUGGCGAACGGGUGAGUAACGCGUAAUCAACCUGCCCUUCAUAGGGGGUCCACAGUUGGACACGACUGCUAAUAUCGCAUACUGAAGGAGGGGAUUGCGUCUGAUUAGCUAGUUGGAGGGGUAACGGCCCCCCAAGGGGAGGAUCAGUAGCCGGUCUGAGAGGAUGGACGGCCAAAUUGGGACUGAGACACGGCCAAGAGUGCUACGGGAGGCAGCAGUGGGUAAUCGUCCGCAAUGGACGGAAGCGUGACGGAGCAACGAGGCGCGAGGGAUGAGGGCCUUCGGGUUGGAAAGCCGUGCGGUUCGGGAGUCGGUACCGGCAGAGAAAGCCACGGCUAACUACGUGCCAGCAGCCGCGGUAAUAC
rnacentral:rRNA from 1 species